ensembl:lncRNA
GUGGGCGUGUACCUCUCCAGGUGCUAAGUGGUGUUUAGUGGGCGUGUACCUCUCCAGGUGCUAAGUGGUGUUUAGUGGGCGUGUAGCUCUCCAGGUGCUAAGUGGUGUUUAGUGGGCGUGUACCUCUCCAGGUGCUAAGUGGUGUUUAGUGGGCGUAUAUAACUCCAGGUGCUAAGUGGUGUUUAGUGGGCGUAUAUAACUCCAGGUGCUAAGUGGUGUUUAGUGGGCGUGUACCUCUCCAGGUGCUAAGUGGUGUUUAGUGGGCGUGUACAGGUGCUAAGUGGUGUUUAGUGGGCGUGUACCUCUCCAGGUGCUAAGUGGUGUUUAGUGGGCGUGUACCUCUCCAGGUGCUAAGUGGUGUUUAGUGGGCGUAUAUAACUCCAGGUGCUAAGUGGUGUUUAGUGGGCGUGUACCUCUCCAGGUGCUAAGUGGUGUUUAGUGGGCGUGUACCUCUCCAGGUGCAUAUUGUCACUUCUCAGCACGUUCCUGCCGCGUCACAGAGGUGAACUGGACUGCUGGAC